GGGAAGGCGGGGAGGGGCGCGGAGGAGGGGCGCGGCGGCCGCCCCGCAGGUCUCCCGCGGCGCAGGGCCCCGCGCUCGCUCCGGACCCGCCGCCUAGGGGGCGCCUUCAACCCCGCCCGGCGCCGCCCGAGCCCGGCCCUUUAAGAAAGUGGGGGAGGGACGCGCCGAGAGGUUCCGCCCCUUCCCGGCCCCGCCUGCGAACCCCGGGAGACCCGCCCACCGUCCCAGGCGGGAGCACCCCAAACCCAGCGGCGAGCUAGGACCGCCCAGCCCCCCGCAAGGUGAAGGGGCGGGCCCCUGUCCUCCUCCCGCGGACCCUGGGUCUUCAGACUUCUGUCAUCCAGCACCCCAUAUGCACACUCCACAACACACUGCCACCCCGGGGACACUCAGAGGAACACCCCGACCUGUGGUAUGUGUGACCAGGGCAGACAGGGACCCGGCUUGGACGGAGCAGGAACCAAGAAAGACCCUGGGCCAGGUGGGAGGAGGCAGGCAAGCAGUGAGUCCGACCGAGGGUGCUCGUCCCAGCACAGGCCAGGCCAGGCCAUCCUAGGCGGAUAAAAAGGGCGAAGAGAAAGCUGGGGGGCUACGGAGGCCCCUCCCAAGGCACCUGCCUCGGCCCCUCCCCCAGGGCUGGUCUUGACCUUGAAGCCCUGGGCUGGGUCCGGGGCUCUGGUUCUAAGAGACUGGCCCACUCUGUACUUGGACUAGACAUUUGGAAGAACUUCCUGGUUGUGAGCGCCUUGCAAAAUAAGAUCCCACCUCCCAGAGAGGUAGACCCCGACCUCAGCCACAGGACCUAAGAACAAGGGAAAUCAGGGGCUACCAAACUCCAAGUGAUCAAGCAGGUGGGACCAACAAUAAAUGUGCCAGACUCCUUUUCCAGGAUCUCCAGAUCGGCCUUGAGAAGACUUCGUAACUGCGGAACUACAACACGACUUCUACCUGAGGCCCAUUACGUUAGCUCUCCAGAGGAGGCCCCUGACUGUUUUCCCCUACAAGUCUUGUUAGUUGAAAGCAACUUGAUGGGAUCUACACUCCCUCUCCCCUAACUGUGGUUAGGGGUACACUCCCUCUCCCCUAACUGUGGUUAGGGUACACUCCCUCUCCCCUAACUGUGGUUAGGGUACCUCUUCAGAGGGGGUGUAUAUGGACAGCUACGGUAAGCAGAAACCCAGUAGGGAAACAGGGCUGGGCUCUCCAGGGAGUCAGUGCCAGAGAUGAGAAUGCUGCAGGCCUGUGGCUGGAGGCACAUCGUAAGGUUAGAGUCACAAUGGCCAGGCUUACAUGCUUCCCCAAGGAAUGGGAGGCGUGGGGUUAUCGGUAUCUCCCUUUUGAGAUUUCCCAUCAUCUCAUUAGGUGUGGGUAAUUCUAUUCCACCUACUAAGACUCAGACUAAGACUGCUAAGACUAAAAACAAGACUAACACCAUAGAUUAUUUUUUUGUUUUUUGUUUUUUUGUCUUUUUCAUUUUUAUUGGUACCGGGGAUUGAACUCACGACUGCCUGCUUGCAAGGCAGGUGCUUAUGCCGCUGAGCUAAAUCCCCAGCCCCAACACCAUAGAUUAUUGACCAAGGUAAAUGAUGUCACCCGGCCACCCCUGCUACCAUUACAGCAAUAUUACUUAAGUGAUUAGACUUGCAAUCUUAUUGGUUGAUCCUAACUUUGACCCACAUCCUACCCACCUCAUGAUCUCGCUCUGUAAUACUUCCUUUGAGAGGUGGACUCCUUGGGGCCCCACUCAGGAGCCCUCCUGUCUCUCAGGAGUUAUUCCUAUUUCCCAUUCCCUCGAUCCUGUUCCCCAUUCCUUUUCUCCAAUAAAUGUCCUCACUUUUAAAAAAUCUGGGCCAGAUUUUGGUGCUGGAACUGAGGCUCUGGCUGGACACGCUCCUGUCCUUCACAGCUCUGUGUGCCUGUCCCAUCCCAGCCUUGUGGCCAUGGGCAGCUGUGACAUGCCCUGGCCUCACUUGCCCCUCUCGUCUCAUGGAACCAGCUCAUGUCUCAAGGCCACCUGGUCUAGAGGGCAAGAGUCUUGGUUGCCCCGGGCACAGAAGCAGAAGAAUGGUCAUGGCUCCUUGCAGCUACCCUCACACUAUGCAAAAAAGCAGGCUCAGGGUCCCUAUCCAGCAGCCAAACCCCAAGGCCCCAGCCGUCCAGGGAGAGAGGAGCCAGCAGCUCAGCCACCUCCUCCCUUGCCACCCCCCCUCACCUUCGGGGGGGAGGUCUCAGAAGUGGGCAUGGGAAGUGGGGCCAAAGACCCCCACACACCCCAUGGGCACACACUGAGAGUUCGCCCCACAUUGCACACUGACUGGUGCAUGGUUCAAGGGGAGACCACAGAGAUAUGGGGGUCCGGCUGCACUGGGAAUGGUCAGCGCCCUGAGCAGGUGCAGGGGCUCAGCUCCCAGCCCGCCUCCGCUCUGCCACCAUGAGGCCCUGCCAGACCCCCGCCUCCCUGCCCGGGCUCAGUGCCUCCCUCAGCUGAGCAGAGGGGAGGCCAGAAGCCAGCACCUGCUGACUGGGGGACUCAUCUUGGCUCAGUGGUCCCUGAAAUUUUCCUCUCUGGAGUGGGGGGCGAAGAGGGGCAGCCAGGUAAGGAGCUCCAGAGGCCUCAGCCCCCCAGCACCUUCCCGGCCCCUGAUCCUCUCCUGAUGCUCUGAGGCUCCUCCCACCCUCAUACCCCAGCCAUUUGCAGUGGCCCCUGCCAAGGUGCCUUCCCUUGAGCUGCCCUCCCUUGGCCAGCUCUAGAGACUCUCCUGUCACUCACGGUUUCUCUCUCCCCACACUGGCAAAAAGCUCCCUGAGAAACGUGUCCAAGCUGGCUGUCUGCAGUUCCUCUCCCAUUCCUCUCUCUCCAGAGAGCGCUCUGACCUAGCCACUCCCUCCGCCUCCCCAGCCGGGCCUCUGGCCUUCCUUUUCUACCCCACCCCUGAACAUUCAAUGCCCCAGGCUGGGUCUUCUGCCCCCCACCCUCGGGCAGUCCACCCUGGCUUCGAAACCCCACCUACCUGGCCCUCUAUCCCUGCCUGCAGUGAUUGACAGUUUGCCUCCCAUGGGCCCAGGAGUCACCUUUCCCUCCCUUUCUCGAAUCCUACAUCUAAUCCUUGGACAGCUCCGCUGGCCCUGUCUUUGCUCAAGCUUGGACUAGAUCGUGGUUACCAUCUAACUGGUCCUCUGUUUCCACCAGCCCCUUCUCUCUGCUGCUGCCUGCGCAGCAGUCUAAGGGACCCUGUGAAAUGAAAGUGGAUCACUGCCUCCCAGCUCAGAAUCCUUCAAAGGUUCCUGUGUAACUUAAAGUCACACAAUGUCUUCACAUUGGCCAUUAAGUCAUGUACAAUUUGGCCCCAACUCCUCCCCAAUCUGACUCCUCUGCAGCCAGUCUGACAUCCUAUGCCUCACAUCCCAGGCACACUCUGGCCACAGGACUUUUGCACUGGUGGAGUUUCCUCUGCUGGAAGCCCUCCUGCUCUGGUAACUGCAUCACCCACCUCCCACUUCCUCUACCUCUCUACACAAAGUCAUCUUCCCUGACAACUUCCUAAAGUACCACUGCUCCACUCUCAUCUUCCAUUUCUCUGCUUUCUUUUCCUCCAAAAGUGUGAGGCUUGGCCUAAUGGCACACACCUGUAAUCCCAGUACUCAGGAGGAUGAGGUGGGAGGAUUGCCACAAGAUUGAGGCCAGCCUUGGCUACAUAGGGAGAACCUGUCUUUAAAAAAAAUUGUGUGUGUUUCUAGUAAUGGAUACUGAACCCCAAGGCUUCACAUUGAAUUAUAUGGCCUUUUCUGUUCGUUCGUUUGUUUGUUUUUGAUUUUGAUUUUUAAAACAAGGUUUCACUAAGUUACUAAAUGGCCCAGGAUGGGCUUGGCCUUGUAUCCUCCUGCCUUGGCCUCCCAGAGGGCUGGAGUGUUAGGGGUGCACUGCUACCCCAGGCCAUAAGGCGUUGAUACUGUUUACUUGCUUUUUCUGAUUAUCUGACUUCCCACCAUUGCUAGGCCAUGAGCUCUGAGAAGUAAAGCUUUGCUCUUUCACUUCUACGUCCUUACAGACUGGAACGGACCCUGGCCGAGUAUAUGCACAACCGCAUCAGCAGGUAAGAAUGGCCAUAACUUGAGUACUGUAAAGUUUUGAAACACACACUGGGAGUGUGGCCAGAGAACUGGGGUCUAUGCAGCAGGUGACUGGGCAGGCCCCCUCCAGGCUCGCACAAGGCAAGGCUCCCCUCACCGCACAGGUCACAAAGGACCUGCUCCCCCUCUCUUGAGUCCUCAUAGCAGCCCUGAGCCAAGACCAGCGUGCAGUAGGCACACGAAGGGGGUGAAUCAAAGCCUGAGGGCCAGGCACAGACAGCCCUGCCAGCAGAGGACCAAAGGGACCACAAGAGGGAGCCCAGGCAGACGGAGCUGCAGAGGCCAGCAACUCAUAGGGGACGUCAUUCAUCCCGUCUUGGCUUCCGGGACACUGUUGCUCCUGGAAAGUUUUGACUCGCCUCAGAACACUCCUCCAGGAAGUGGUGGAGCCCUGACUCUGCGUCCCCUGUGCCUUAACUCGGCCUAGGAACAGUUCACACCGGGAGAGAUUUAUUAAGCGGGCUUAGAGGAUCACAGGCGAAAGUCACGACAGCCAUCUGCAGGCGCAGAGGUGGAAGAACCCGGAAUAACCGUCUGGCACUUCGACGGCCGGAUCUAUUCGCUGUGGGAGAUCAAAGUCCUGGAAGCUCGCUAUAGAGUAUCUGGUGUGGGUCUGAGUUAGAACCCGAAGAAACUGCAGAUCAACGUUCAAAGGCUGGAGCUCUUCAAGCAAAAGGGGUCACUUCCUUCUUUUCUCCCUUUUUAGUCUGUCCAAACUACAAACUUAUUGGUUGGUGCCAUCCGCAUCUGGGGUGGGUCUUCUCCCUCCGUUUGUUGGCCUACAUGUCAAUCAUCCACAGACACACCCAGAAUUUACUAAUCUGCUAGGCAGUUUUUACUCGUCACAUUGACGUGACACAGUUAAUGACCACAGUGCAUUUCAUUGUGAUAUAUUUUGACUCAAACAAAGAACUGGCCAGGUGAAGUGGUUGCACAUUUGUAGUCCUAGCUACUUGAGAGUCUGAGGCAGGAGGAUCCAUUGAGCCCAGGAAUUCAAGACCAGCCUGGGCAACACAGCUUGUCUUUAAAAAAAACGAAAAGGAGGCGGAGGAGGAGGGAAUAGAAAAAAGAACCAACCAAUAUGAGGCUUGGUGAUAAAGCACUGGCAUGCACAAAGCCCUAGGUUCAAUCCUCAGUCCUGGGGAAAAAGAAAAAACAACCAUGCCAAAGUAUUGAACUUCAGUUAAUAAGAUACAUGUUGAAGUGUUUGGAUGGCAAAAUACAUUGAUAUCUGGAGGUUGCUUUGAUGUCAUUCAAAAAAGAAAAUAAAUUGAAAGAUAAUGAUAAAGCUAAUACACUACAAAUUGUAAAAUCUGGGCGGUGGCUAUAUGGGUGCUUACUGUGAAACUUUUUCAAUUUUUUCAAAUAUUUCCAACCUUAACAGAAAAAUGUAGGAGAAAGUGUCGCCAGUGGGUGUGGCACGGGAAGUGGGCAUGCACAGCUGUUAGCACGGAGAGCCAAUAGCAUAGCGGGGUCACCUUUCCGGAAGCAGUGUUGGAAGCAGUGUCCUCAACGUGUAUUGAACAGUCUGGCCUUCCAAUCCAGCAGUUCUACUGCGGAAUUUAUCCUGAGGAAAGUGAAGAUGGAUGCACAAGCUACAAGACUGUUCAUUGCAACAUUGAAUAUAAUGACAAAAAAAAUGGGAAUGGCUCAGAUCUCCUGAAGUAGCUCACUGGUUUUAAAAAUGCAUCUCGAUGCACUAGAGUACCAUGCAGCCAUUUAAAAAAACAGCGCAGCCAGGGCUGGAGUGAGACUAAGUGGCAGAGCACUUUCCCAGCACACCCGCGUCCCUGAGUUCCAUCCCUAGCCCCCCCCCCUUUCGCCCCCCAAGAAAAGAUGCAGCACACACCACAAAUAUUUGCCAAAGUGGAAAAAACAGCCUCCAUAUACAUUGGGUUUUUUAAAAAAGCAGGAAAAAAUUUUAAACAUUUUUAAAAAGCAGGUCUCUGGGGUCACCUUGACACCAUCCCACAUGAUGACAUGUGGGGUAAGGAUCAUGUUCACGGCAUCCCUGAUCUUUGCCCGGCGUCCUGGGGGAGCCAGGACUGAAGCCUUCCUCCCUCCCUUCUGCAGGAGCAGCAGGAAGGCCGAGGCGGUGAGCGCCAGCGGCUGCUGAGGCCUGCUGGCAGGCAGCACUUGGGGAAAUGCUCCCUACAUCUCCAGCCUGACCCUUCAGGAAGGGAAUUUUCUUCGGUCAUCAGAUGUACUGCAUUCUUUUUAUGCUGAUCCCUGGUCUUCCAGAACAGGCUGGUUUCACAACCAAAUCUCCCUUCCAGGUAUUACAUUAGACAGAGAUUGCCUAUGUACCCUACGAGGCAUCCUGUAAGCUUCAGGCUAAUCCUGCUUUUGCCUCUCACUUUUUUUUCUUUAGAGUCUCACUAUGUAGUUCAGGUCUUGAACUCACUGUGCAGCCCAGACUGGCCUAAACUCAUGGACCCAUGGCAGUCCUCCUGCUUCAGCCUCUGGAGUGCUAGGAUUAUAAGCCUGCACAUCACACUCUUCUGUGCCUUGUAUUUUAACACAUGCAUGGGUGUCAGCUCAAGAAAAGUGACCUGGAGCGGGGAUUAUCUUUGGGUGGUGAGAACCGGGAUAUUUUUUUCCCCGUGACAAUGUAUUGUCUUAUGUAUUGAGAAAAACUAUCACCACAGAAGGAGCCAGUCCCAACCACAAUGCACCCAGUGGCGAGUUGCCCAGCUGAUGAGGUGCUGGAAACCUUGUUUAUGGGAGACAGGGAGGGGGACAUGCAGACUCCUCUGGCCUGCAUGCAGCAGAGGCUACUUGCUCUGUGAGGCUCAGGGCUGGCCGGUUCCCACAGCCAUGCAGCACCACCAGCCAGCUCAGCUUCCCUAAAACCACCAUACAAUGGAGCAGUGACCUCCUCGUCACAGGAGCUGUGCCAGCAAAAUGGGCAGCCCACUGUCAGGAGGACCAGCGAGGGGAUUUCCAGGCUGGCCAAGAAAAUGCAGCAAAAGUCUCUGAGGUCCAGUGAAGAUGCUCGAGUGGACUUUUGGCCUCCCAGACCAGAUAGCAUCAUUUCUGCUGGAUGCAGUGGCACACGCCUGUGAUUCUAGCACCUGGAGGCUGGAACAGGAAGAUCAUCUCAAAUUCAAGUCCAGCCUGGGCUACAUAGUAAGUCCAAGGCCAGUCUGAACUGCACGAGACUCUGUUGAAAAAGAAAAAAGAAAAUAUCAUUUCUGAGGUCAUUUCUGACACUGGCAUCAGAGGGGAUACUCAGGGAGGACUUUCUGGAGCAGGAGGUCAGUGGCUGCCCUUCCUCCCUGAGCUGGCCUCCUUUCUGGGUCAUCCAGUCCUUUCUGAGUGGAAACAAGCACAGCCUCAGCCCCUGCCUCACCGCACAGUCCCGGAUGACUCCCUGAUCCUCUCAGAUCCUUAGUCUGACUAAACCUGAAACCAUAUCUUUCCCCCAGGGACAGCCAAACUGCCAUCAUCGUGUACCUAUGAGAGGAAAGAUGACGUGAUUUAAGGGAACCCUGAUUGUAUCCUUGCCUUGGACUGAUGUUCGGAAGGGAUUCAACAGAGGUGGUCCAGACCCAGAGGCCGGCCCACCAGGCUGCCUGGAUACAACCAUAUGUUGGCAGACCAUGGUUACCAUGGCGAUGGGACACACACCAGAGCUCACCUUCAGGGCCUUAGCAAAGAGUCUCAAGUGCCAGCUCUCUCCGGGGCUUUUCUGGCCAUGUGGACGGGGGCAGGAGGGUGGGUCCUCUGAUCAGAGAGACAAGAUGAGGCCAGGAGACAAAAGGACACAGGUAGUCCCCCAGGUGCGUUCAUUGGGGGAAGCGCGGCAGCAGUGAAAGCUGGCAGCCCCAGCAGAUAGGCCUGCAUCCCCCUGCUGGUGAUCUUGGGCAAAUGGCUCUACUUCUCCGGGCCCGGGAGAAUAUGCUGUGACAUGAGAUGACUUCAUUUUCUUCUCACACACAGCUACCGGAGGCAGAAAUUCAAACUAACCCCGGAGCCCCGCAGAAGGUCGCCCUCAGCCAUCGCCCUCUCCAGCUCCCCACUCCCCACUCCCUGUCCACACCUGCCAUCGUGCGGCCCUUCCGGGUACUGCAGGCGCCCCGCUCGCUCCCCAGCGGCCCCUGAAGCCGCUGCUCCCUGUCUAGGCGUGGAUCCCUCUCCGGGUCUCAAGCUGACAAGCCCCGUCCCCAGACCUUUGAGGACAUCUGGCCUAAAGAGCCUUCCCGCUGGCCCCAGACCGUUCAUAGGAACCAGGGAGCCUCACUGGCUGGGGCGGCAGAUGGCCCAGAGGCAGGGAUUCUUAGCAAUCACAUCAAGAUCCUGGGAUGCUGGGAGUCUCCGGGUACACACUGUUGCUGCCCCUGUGUGCACCCCAUAAAUACCAGAGCCCCGCCACACAGUGACCUCACUGCCUGUCCAUUCUGCUAAAACCCAAAGACCUUUCCAUAGCCUAAAUCCCUGCAUCACCCAGCCCGACCCACCUCUCAAACCCUGGCACCCACCAGCACCAACCCACGGCCACCUACUCACUGAUCUCCAGAAAAACACUCACCUCGAGCUUCUGGGCCUUGACACCGCGCACUCAUACGGGCUGCCUCACUGCCCCUGGGCCGCUAUCCAAAUACAGUCUCCUAAAGUCCUUUGAGACCCUGGAGCUAAGAGGCUCCUCUCCCUCCACUCCCACAAAGUGUGUUGCCUUCCAAAUGUGUACCCUCAUCAUUAGGGAAAUGGAAUAAACGCUACAAUGAUGUGUGA